GAUGAACGCUGGCGGCGUGCCUAAUACAUGCAAGUCGAGCGAAUGGAUUAAGAGCUUGCUCUUAUGAAGUUAGCGGCGGACGGGUGAGUAACACGUGGGUAACCUGCCCAUAAGACUGGGAUAGCUCCGGGAAACCGGGGCUAAUACCGGAUAACAUUUUGAACCGCAUGGUUCGAAAUUGAAAGGCGGCUUCGGCUGUCACUUAUGGAUGGACCCGCGUCGCAUUAGCUAGUUGGUGAGGUAACGGCUCACCAAGGCAACGAUGCGUAGCCGACCUGAGAGGGUGAUCGGCCACACUGGACUGAGACACGGCCCAGACUCCUACGGGAGGCAGCAGUAGGGAAUCUUCCGCAAUGGACGAAAGUCUGACGGAGCAACGCCGCGUGAGUGAUGAAGGCUUUCGGGUCGUAAAACUCUGUUGUUAGGGAGGAACAAGUGCUAGUUGAAUAAGCUGGCACCUUGACGGUACCUAACCAGAAAGCCACGGCUAACUACGUGCCAGCAGCCGCGGUAA
rnacentral:rRNA from 1 species